AUGAAAUCUUUACUCGUCCUCAUGCUGUCACUGGCUGCUGCCCCGGGUGUCCUCUGCCAGGUGCAGCUGGUCCAGUCUGGCCCGGGGGCGGUGAAGCUCGGAGAGACCCUCACCCUGACCUGCGCUGUCUCGGGUGUUUCCAUCACUGACAGCAGCUAUGCUGCGCUCACUGGCAGCUGUGGACACCGCCACCCAUUACUGCACCAGAUACACAGUGACACGAAGCAGAGCGGGACUGCCUCCAGGUUCCCCUUCAGCAGUCAUCUCAUGGAUUGGAUCCGUCUGGCCCCCGGGAAGGGGCUGGAGUGGCUGGCCAGAGCUGCUGCCCAGGGCAGCGCCUACUACGCUGAUUCUGUGCAAGGGCGAUUCACCAUCUCCAGAGACAACGCCAACAGCCUGGUGCGUUUGCAAAUCAGCAGCCUGAGAGCGGAGGACACCGCCCUGUAUUACUGUGUCAGAGACACACAGCCAGGGGCCUAG